rfam:Gossypium hirsutum cultivar TM-1 chromosome 14, whole genome shotgun sequence
UGUUAAAAAAUUCAUUAAUUUGUAUUGUUAAAAGCUAGCGUGGCUGACGAAAUAAUCAAACAAUAACAUGUGGCAUGGUACCUCACGUUGAUGUAUAGAGACCCCUUUUUAAUAAAGAAAUAGAUGAAUUUUUUAACA